GGGCGAAUAGCUCAGUUGGGAGAGCAUCUGCCUUACAAGCAGAGGGUCGGGGGUUCGAACCCCUCUUCGCCCACCA
rnacentral:tRNA from 23 species